rnacentral:rRNA from 1 species
UACGGGAGGCAGCAGUAGGGAAUCUUCCGCAAUGGACGAAAGUCUGACGGAGCAACGCCGCGUGAGUGAAGAAGGUUUUCGGAUCGUAAAACUCUGUUGUCAGAGAAGAACAAGUUGGAGAGUAACUGCUCCAGCCUGACGGUAUCUACCAGAAGUAGCUCCG